rnacentral:lncRNA from 1 species
CCGCCUAGUGGGGUCCAGCCCCUUUCUUACGGAAGAUGUUUUUCUUCCUUUCUUUCUUCAUUUGUCAAUAUUGGCUGCCCAGCAGCCCAUGUUUUGUUGUCUUCUGCACUUGUCAAUUUUGGCAAGAUUGCAGAGCAAAAGUUUCAAAUUCGGUUGGCAGUGUUUGCCCUAUAAAAUGAGAGCUUUGCCUCUCAUUUGGUACACCAACAAAAGAGAGAAAAAAGAGUAAGGUUUCACAGACGGUAUAAGAAAAUAGUCUGUGAGAAAAAUAGAGAGUGAGCGAUAUUGUAGCGAGAUGGAAAUAUCAAAAGAGGGUUUUUUUUAGUGUUGUAGUGGUCUUUGGAGUAUUUUACAAGGACCUACAAAGUGUAAAAUUCCUUACUAUGGUGAUAUCAGUUGCUCCACUCAAGGCCGUGAUUUUUUUC